UCUGGUUGAUCCUGCCAGAGGUUACUGCUAUCGAGGUUCGACUAAGCCAUGCGAGUCGAAUGUAGCAAUACAUGGCGAACUGCUCAGUAACACGUGGACAACCUGCCCUUAGGUCGGGGAUAAACCCGGGAAACUGGGUAUAAUACCCGAUAGGUCUCGAUUGCUGGAAUGCAUCGAGAUUUAAAGCUCCGGCGCCUAAGGAUGGGUCUGCGGCCUAUCAGGUAGUAGUGGGUGUAGCGUACCUACUAGCCUACGACGGGUACGGGUUGUGAGAGCAAGAGCCCGGAGAUGGAUUCUGAGACACGAAUCCAGGCCCUACGGGGUGCAGCAGGCGCGAAAACUUUACAAUGCUGGCAACAGCGAUAAGGGAACCUCGAGUGCCAGGUUACAAAUCUGGCUGUCGAGAUGCCUAAAAAGCAUUUCAUAGCAAGGGCCGGGCAAGACCGGUGCCAGCCGCCGCGGUAACACCGGCGGCUCGAGUGGUAACCGUUAUUAUUGGGUCUAAAGGGUCUGUAGCCGGCCGGAUAAGUCUCUUGAGAAAUCUGGCAGCUUAACUGUCAGGCUUUCAGGAGAUACUGUCUGGCUCGAGGCCGGGAGAGGUGAGAGGUACUUCAGGGGUAGGGGUGAAAUCUUGUAAUCCUUGAAGGACCACCAGUGGCGAAGGCGUCUCACCAGAACGGACCUGACGGCAAGGGACGAAAGCUAGGGGCACGAACCGGAUUAGAUACCCGGGUAGUCCUAGCCGUAAACGAUACUCGCUAGGUGUCGGCCACGGUGCGACCGUUGUCGGUGCCGUAGGGAAGCCGUGAAGCGAGCCACCUGGGAAGUACGGCCGCAAGGCUGAAACUUAAAGGAAUUGGCGGGGGAGCACCACAACGGGUGGGAGCUUGCGGUUUAAUUUGGAUUCAACGCCCGGAA
rnacentral:rRNA from 1 species